rnacentral:lncRNA from 1 species
GUCCCGCUGAAGUUCUCCUCGUCACUCCGUCUCCCGACACGCUUCCUACUCUCAUCCUGCACUGGCAGCACGGCAGCAAAGAGUCUGAGCAGCCCCAAGAGCGCCAUCUAGCUGCAGAAAUUCCCAGGAUGUAGAGAAGGAUCUAUGGUUGAAAAACGUAAUCUUCAACAUGCUUGCCGCUGCCAUUCAGACCAUGAGCCCAAUGCUGUGAACUCGGAUUAUCCCGGACCUUUCUACAGAACUAUGGAGUCCUCUCAUGCUUCAUACAUUGCGCAGCCAUCCACAGGGACACCCAUCACCCCGUCCACCGCAUUCUUGUGCCGCUACCUUCAAUAUCAGAACAACUCUGUCAUUUUGCAGCACUACAACUAUGUGGGAAAAUUGAAACAAGACAAAUACGAGAAGGGGCUCAAGCCAGAAGCCAUUGCUCUCCUGCUGGUGUGUCUCCUCAUUGUCCUGGAGAACUCUGUGGUUCUAGUCGCCAUUUGGAAGAACAAGAAAUUCCACUUGCCCAUGUACUACCUACUGGGCAACCUGACUUUCUCUGACUUGCUGGCAGGUUUCACCUACAUGCUCAACAUUAUGCUGUCCGGGCCCAUGACGCUCCGGCUCACACCGCUGUUGUGGUUCCUGAGGGAGGGUGGCGUCUACAUCACACUGACCGCUUCCAUCAUCAGUCUUCUGGCCAUCGCCAUCGAACGCCACGUCACCAUGGCACAGAUGAAGCCCUACCAAGGGACUAAACGGGGACGGAUGUUUGCACUAAUCGCUACCAGUUGGGCUCUUCCUGUGCUUCUAGGCGUGCUGCCCAUCAUGGGCUGGAACUGUAUUGGGAACCUUAAGCAAUGUUCCACCAUUCUGCCGCUCUACAACAAGAGCUACAUCCUCUUCUGCGUGAUAGUGUUUUCUUCCAUUCUUGUGGCCAUCAUCGUGCUCUACUGCCGCAUCUACCUGGACUUCAUGAGCACGGCCAAAGCCCACCCUGUGCUCCUCAAGGCGGAUUACUUCUUGGGACUGGCCAUGAUCAAUUCCCUGCUCAACCCUGUUAUCUACACACUCACCAGCAAGGAUAUGCGCCGGGCCAUUUUGCGGCUGCUGUGUCAGAGGUGUCUGAUGACACAGGACGGUCAGAUGAAGGCGUUUGGCAUCUCCUUCCUGGAGUGCAGCUUCAGCAAGUCUGUGGUGGCCUCGCACCGGCUGCAGGGGCUGGAAACGACCAUCUCAUCAGGCAACAUCACACACUCACACAUCAAAGCCAUUUACCCAAAGCUCUUUGUCAACAAACUGUGAAACUGUCUUUCUGUGGUGGGUGAACCUCACUUUUCUGUGUGAGAGUGAGGUAUCCAUCUGUUCUCUGGCAUGCUACGGAAGAGACUACUUUAAGGGUCAAUUGUGUUUUUAUACCUAAAAUUCUCUUUGCACUGAUUAAAACGUUUUAACUCACAUUCAGCUUCUAACUAUGCAUUCAGAACAAAAUUUCACUGGUAACAGGGCAAGAGACACAUACCUUGUGCAAAAACAAUUAUGCAUCUGAACUGUUAAUUAUACAAGAAGAUACUCAUGCAAUAUUGUAUCAAUAUAUUGUACUUUUGACUGAAAACUGCCUUUCCAUGGACCAUAAGACCUUAAAACUGGAUUUAAGGGUUCUGAUAAACAGAUCCCAUCGCUGGCUCGAUGAACCGGACCUCACCCAGUCGUGAUAAUCUAUUGUAGCAUGUCCUUAUGUGUGGGUUGGAGAAAAAAGAUGGAUCUGAACAGUGGAGUAAAACCAGUCGCUCAAUAGAGUCCUUAUUUCUUCACUCAAAAUGUGUUAAAUUAGCAUUGAGCAAUGUCUUCUAACAUGUUCAUGAAGAUGAUAAUUAGCAAUAAAUGUAACAGAGAAGCAAAACUUUUAAAAUAU